AUUGAACGCUGGCGGCAGGCCUAACACAUGCAAGUCGAGCGAGCGGCGGACGGGUGAGUAAUGUAUGGGGACUGCCCGACAGAGGGGGAUAACUACUGGAAACGGUGGCUAAUACCGCAUACUAUCGGAUAACCCAUAUGGGAUUAGCUAGUGGGUGGGGUAAAGGCUCACCUAGGCGACGAGCUCUAGCUGGUCUGAGAGGAUGAUCAGCCACACUGGGACUGAGAAACGGCCCAGACUCCUACGGAGGCAGCAGUGGGGAAUAUUGUACAAUGGGCGCAAGCCUGACGGAGCCAUGCCGCGUGUAUGAAGAAGGCCUUAGGGUUGUAAAGUUCUUUCAGCGGAGAGGCGGUACCCACAGAAGAAGCCCCGGCUAACUACGUGCCAGCAGCCGCGGUAAUUC
rnacentral:rRNA from 1 species